rnacentral:rRNA from 1 species
GAUGAACGCUGGCGGCGUGCCUAAUACAUGCAAGUCGAGCGAACAGACGAGGAGCUUGCUCCUCUGACGUUAGCGGCGGACGGGUGAGUAACACGUGGAUAACCUACCUAUAAGACUGGGAUAACUUCGGGAAACCGGAGCUAAUACCGGAUAAUAUAUUGAACCGCAUGGUUCAAUAGUGAAAGACGGUUUUGCUGUCACUUAUAGAUGGAUCCGCGCCGCAUUAGCUAGUUGGUAAGGUAACGGCUUACCAAGGCAACGAUGCGUAGCCGACCUGAGAGGGUGAUCGGCCACACUGGAACUGAGACACGGUCCAUACUCCUACGGGAGGCAGCAGUAGGGAAUCUUCCGCAGUGGGCGAAAGCCUGACGGAGCAACGCCGCGUGAGUUAUGAAGGUCUUCGGAUCGUAAAACUCUGUUAUUAGGGAAGAACAAAUGUGUAAGUAACUAUGCACGUCUUGACGGUACCUAAUCAGAAAGCCACGGCUAACUACGUG